rfam:Ciona savignyi cont_5634, whole genome shotgun sequence.
GCUGCGAUGGCCGAGUGGUUAAGGCGUUCUACUCGAAAUCCAAUUGAAUAUUUCCAUGCUUGUUCGAGUCCUGUACGCAGCG